rnacentral:rRNA from 1 species
GUUGAACGCUGGCGGCAGGCUUAACACAUGCAAGUCGAACGAGUGGCGGACGGGUGAGUCAUGCUUGGGAAUCUAGCUUAUGGAGGGGGAUAACUACGGGAAACUGUAGCUAAUACCGCGUACCAUACAAUGAGCCCAAGUGGGAUUAGGUAGUUGGUGAGGUAAAGGCUAACAAAGCAGACGAUCUCUAGCUGGUCUGCGAGGAUGACCGGCCACACUGGGACUGAGACACGGCCCAGACUCCUACGGGAGGCAGCAGUGGGGAAUAUUGCGCAAUGGGCGCAACCUGACGCAGCAAUGCCGCGUGAAUGAAGAAGGCCUUCGGGUUGUAAAGUUCUUUCGGUAGCGAGGCGUUAACUACAGAAGAAGCACCGGCUAACUCCGUGCCAGCAGCCGCGGUAAUUC